rnacentral:tRNA from 1 species
GCGGAAGUGGCGAAACUGGCAGACGCACCAGACUUAGGAUCUGGCGCCGCAAGGCGUGGAGGUUCAAGUCCUCUCUUCCGCACCA